rnacentral:rRNA from 1 species
UACGUAGGGUGCGAGCGUUAAUCGGAAUUACUGGGCGUAAAGCGUGCGCAGGCGGUUUUGUAAGCCAGAUGUGAAAGCCCCGGGCUUAACCUGGGAAUGGCAUUUGGGACUGCAAGGCUUGAGUGCGGCAGAGGAGACUGGAAUUCCUGGUGUAGCAGUGAAAUGCGUAGAUAUCAGGAGGAAUACCGAUGGCGAAGGCAGCCAUCUGGACCGACACUGACGCUGAGGCGCGAAAGCGUGGGGAGCAAACAGG